AAGUAACCGACAUUUAGACAAAAACCAUAUCAGCUAAAAGAUAGCUAAUGUAACAGAAUAGACUAACUGAAAUAACGGUAAAAACUAUAACUAACAAACUGUCAGUAACAAACUAUCAGUAGAAGAUGGCAUUAGACUAAUUCUGUUAUAAUUCUAAUAUUCCCCCCUUAAGAUGGACUGGAUAUGUCAUAUACAGACAUCUUAUGGAUAUGAGAAGCAAGAAUUGUGGAUGGAAGAGGUUUAGUGAAAGCAUCUGGAAGUUGGAGAGUAGUAUUGACAGGAAUGAGUUGAAUUGCAGAGGCCUUUAUCUUUUCGCGUAUGAAAUGGCAGUCUAAUUCGAUGUGUUUGGUGCAUUCGUGAAAAGUGGGGUUGUUGGCGAUGUGAAUGGCGGACUGAUUAUCACAAUAGAUGAAUGCAAGAGCCUUUUGAGGAAUUUGUAAGUCGUUAAGCAAGUAUUGGACCCAUGUAACUUCACUGCUAGCAGCAGCGAGUGCUCUGUACUCUGUUUCAGCAGAACUGCGAGAAAUUGUUGUUUGUUUCUUGGUUUUCCAGGAUAUCAAACAGUCUCCUAUGAAGAGGCAAAAACCUGAUGUUGAUCGACAUGUUGUAGGUCAGGAAGCCCAGUCCGAGUCUGAGAACACUACAAGAAGCUUAAGUAUUAGCAGCGACUAUAUUAGGGGCGACAAAAAGUCGCCUCUAAUAAUAUGGGUAUUAGGGGCGACAAAAGGCUGUCGCCCCUAAAGAAAAUAUUUUUUUUAUUUUUUUGACUUUGUAUAUAAUUAGGGGCGACAAAAGUCGCCCCUAAUAAUUUUAGAGACGAUUUUUAAUUAUUAAGGGCGACAAUAGUCGCCCCUAAAAAUUUUAAAAUGUGUUUGGUGGAUUUGGGCGGGAUUUUUCCCGCUUAUAGUAUUAGGGGCGACAAAAAUCGCCCCUAAAAAUUUGACUUCUGACACUCUACUUAUUAAGGGUGACUUUUAGAGGCGACAAUUGUCGCCCCAAAAAGUUGUUUCAUUAAAAAUCAUUUCGUCUUCCCCGAGCCCCAUUCUUUGUUACCCUAAAAAAAUCUAAAAAUCUCUCUCUCUCUCAAAUUUCUUUAUUACCACCAAUGGUGGUCUCUUACCACCGGUCGUCGUCCCCUCCCAAGGCCUGAACGAAGUCCUCCACCAAAUCUAAAACCCCUCGAAACGCCGCCCAAACUUCAAGUCUUCCCUCCCUUACUUCGUUCUCUCUCGUUUCCUUUUGCUCUGCCGCCCAAACAAGCCCACAACGGAGUACGAUGAUGGACGAACAUCGAGCUGGGGAUCACGAAUGUCAGGGCUUCGAUGGAUCAGGAAGGAAUGCACCCAUUGCAGCCAAGUCUCCGUCUCAGGCGGCGUCCUAAAGCUGGUGCAACCAAGUGUGAACUCCAAGUUCAGAAUUGUCUAUGAAAGCUCAAUCACCGAACGUCAGAUCCAAAGAUUUAUAUCUAUGUUACAACAACAUUAUCAACAACUACUUUAUUAAUGUUUUUUUUCUUUUGUAUUUAAACUAUUUUAGUAAUGUUGUUUGUAUUUUUGUACUAGUUAAUGCCUUUUUAUUUUAGUAUUUA